AGAAAUGGAAAUCUGGGACUGCUCCAUCUUCUGCACUCCGAGCCCAACUGCUUGCUUCUUCAAAUGUUUCUGGGAGUGUUCUCAAGAAAUGAUCCAGCACCUGGACCUUGGAGUCACCCUCUCAAGGACCACGAGUGUCCUGCUUCACUGCAACUCCCUGGACUCAGUCUGUCCUCACACUUCUUGUGGCUCUCAGGACAAAGCAAGAGAGCUCCCUGAUUCACUCCACCUGUUUCCACAAUUUUCAGAAAGAAGCCCUGAUCUGCAGGAAAUCAGCACGACUAGCAUCUGAGACAGAAGACAUUUGACUGCCUACGGAGGACACAGCAACGAAACAAUGAUAAGAAAGAAGUAAGUGGAAUUCUUUAGUAUGGCCUCCCAGCGUGGGGGACCAUGAGCAGCUAUGCCACACCCUUACCAGGAGGCAGGAGAGCUAAAAGCAGGACCACAGCCCACAGCAUGGCUACCUCUCCUCUGCCUUGGAAGGAGAGGGACCAGAUGAGAAGAGAAGCAGAGAGUCCUCUCCAAACUCAAAGCCCUCUCAACACGAAGAACGUUAGCUUCCUGCCUCUUAUUAUCUAGACUCCUCAAUUUGGGAUCUGGGACUCAAAGGGCCUAACAUGCUUCAGCUGCUGUAUUCCCAUCAGUGCCACGAAAGCAAGUCCGGCUAGCAGGCUGCACAUGAAGCAACAUGAGGAGAACUGAUUCAUUCCAGCCCACGCCACUUUGCCCAGCCAUCCCCUCUCCCAGGAAACCCAGCAGAUGGCAGGUCAUAAGUCCAAGUGGCAGCCCUUAAGUCCAAACAGGUCCUGUGGCCCUGUACCAUAAGGACGACAGGAAGCUGCCAGUUCCAACCAACCUCUGUCCACUGCCCUGGCUCCAUGCGGCAGAGUUCCUUCCCUGUGAACAGCCCGGGCAGGGCUGAUCUGGGAAUGACCAGCAGGUGACACCACCCCAUAAAGAGUGGUCAAGGGGACAGGCUACUGCUCAGGAUGGAGCUGUCCCAAAGGGACUUCUGGGGAAGACUUGACUUCAGAACUGGUGAUCCUGCGAGGAUGUGUCACUUUGGAAAAGCAGAUCAACAGCUGGAGUCCGAAUGGGC